UGGCUCAGAGGUUAAAGCAUCUGCCUGGAAUGCAGGAGACCCAGGUUCGAUCCCUGG
rfam:Ovis aries breed Texel chromosome 8, whole genome shotgun sequence.